rnacentral:lncRNA from 1 species
GCAGGUACAGAUCGUCACAACAUGGUGGAGAUGGCCGACCCAUCUGUGAACUAUCCUUUAACAUCGGAAAAGCCAUUAACAAUGUUCACUAACGCUGAAAUCGUUUGGACAAGUGAUGAAGAAACGAAGACUAAACAAGAUCUUAUUUUGAGUAUGGCCUCCUCUGGCUACUACAACAGCAUGACGCUCUGUAAGGCUUCUCCACAGAAAACAGCGCUUAAUGACGAGUUAAACAAUGGUCCAGCAUCGUAUCGUGGCAUGCUAUUGAGGUUUGCACCGGGAGAAUAUUACUACA